rnacentral:rRNA from 1 species
GAUCAUGGCUCAGGAUGAACGCUAGCUACAGGCUUAACGCAUGCAAGUCGAGGGGCAUCAGGGUGUAGCAAUACACCGCUGGCGACCGGCGCACGGGUGAGUAACACGUAUCCAACCUGCCCUUUACUCGGGGAUAGCCUUUCGAAAGAAAGAUUAAUACCCGAUGGCAUAACAUGACCUCCUGGUUUUGUUAUUAAAGAAUUUCGGUAGAGGAUGGGGAUGCGUUCCAUUAGGCAGUUGGCGGGGUAACGG